rnacentral:rRNA from 1 species
GAUGAACGCUGGCGGCGUGCCUAAUACAUGCAAGUCGAGCGAACAGACGAGGAGCUUGCUCCUUUGGCGUUAGCGGCGGACGGGUGAGUAACACGUAGGUAACCUACCUAUAAGACUGGGAUAACUUCGGGAAACCGGAGCUAAUACCGGAUAAUAUUUCGAACCGCAUGGUUCGAAAGUGAAAGAUGGCUUUGCUAUCACUUAUAGAUGGACCUGCGCCGUAUUAGCUAGUUGGUAAGGUAACGGCUUACCAAGGCAACGAUACGUAGCCGACCUGAGAGGGUGAUCGGCCACACUGGAACUGAGACACGGUCCAGACUCCUACGGGAGGCAGCAGUAGGGAAUCUUCCGCAAUGGGCGAAAGCCUGACGGAGCAACGCCGCGUGAGUGAUGAAGGUCUUCGGAUCGUAAAACUCUGUUAUUAGGGAAGAACAAACGUGUAAGUAACUGUGCACGUCUUGACGGUACCUAAUCAGAAAGCCACGGCUAACUACGUG